UCUGGAUGGGGAGCAACCUAGUUGUGCGUGUGUAAAGGUAGUGCCAAGAAAAGCGGUGAUCAUGAUGAAAAUCAAUUCCCGGUACCCGAAACCGACACAGGUGGGCAAGUAGAGAAUACUAAGGGGCGCGAGGUAACUCUCUCCAAGGAACUCGGCAAAAUGACCCCGUAACUUAGGGAGAAGGGGUGCCACCGAGAGGUGGUCGCAGUGAAGAGGCCCAGGCGACUGUUUAGCAAAAACAUAGGUCUCUGCAAACUCGAAAGAGGAGGUAUAGGGGCUGACGCCUGCCCAGUGCCGGAAGGUUAAAGAAGUUGGUCAGUCUUAGGAUAAAGCUAGCGACUGAAGCCCCGGUGAACGGCGGCCGUAACUAUAACGGUCCUAAGGUAGCGAAAUUCCUUGUCGGGUAAGUUCCGACCCGCACGAAAGGCGUAACGAUCUGGGCGCUGUCUCGGAGAGAGGCUCGGCGAAAUAGGAUUGUCUGUGAAGAUACGGACUACCUGCAUUUGGACAGAAAGACCCUAUGAAGCUUUACUAUAGCUUGGAAUUGUGUUCGGGCUUCCUGUGCGCAGGAUAGGUGGGAGGCGAAGAAGGUAUUCUUGUGGGGAUACUGGAGCCAACGGUGAGAUACCACUCUCAGGAGGCUAGAAUUCUAACUUAAUUAAGGACAGUUUCAGGUGGGUAGUUUGACUGGGGCGGUCGCCUCCAAAAAGGUAACGGAGGCGUACAAAGGUUCCCUCAGACUGGUUGGAAAUCAGUCGCAGAGUGCAAAGGCAGAAGGGAGCUUGACUGCGAGAAGUACAGUUCGAGCAGGGUGGAAACACGGUCUUAGUGAUCCGACGGUGCUGUGUGGAAGGGCCGUCGCUCAACGGAUAAAAGUUACUCUAGGAUAACAGGCUGAUCUCCCCCAAGAGUUCACAUCGACGGGGAGGUUUGGCACCUCGAUGUCGGCUCAUCGCAACCUGGGGCGGAAGUACGUCCCAAGGGUUGGGCUGUUCGCCCAUUAAAGCAUUACGUGAGCUGGGUUCAGAACGUCGUGAGACAGUUCGGUCCAUAUCCGAUGUAGGCGUGAGAAUAUUGAGAGGAGCCUUCCUUAGUACGAGAGGACCGGGAAGGACGCACCGCUGGUGUACCUGUUAUGAUGCCAAUUGUAAACGCAGGGUAGCCAAGUGCGGAGAGGAUAACCGCUGAAAGCAUCUAAGUGGGAAGCCCACCUCAAGAUGAGUAUUCUGGUGUAAGGUCACGGGAAGACGACCCGUAAAUAGGCACGAGGUGGAAGUGCAGAGAUGUAUGAAGCCGAAGUGUACUAAUAGACCGUCGGCUUGAC
rnacentral:rRNA from 1 species